rnacentral:rRNA from 1 species
UGGGGAAUAUUGGACAAUGGGCGCAAGCCUGAUCCAGCCAUGCCGCGUGAGUGAUGAAGGCCCUAGGGUUGUAAAGCUCUUUCGCACGUGACGAUAAUGACGGUAGCGUGAGAAGAAGCCCCGGCUAACUUCGUGCCAGCAGCCGCGGUAAUACGAAGGGGGCUAGCGUUGUUCGGAAUCACUGGGCGUAAAGCGCACGUAGGCGGAUACUUAAGUCAGGGGUGAAAUCCCGGGGCUCAACCUCGGAACUGCCUUUGAUACUGGGUAUCUUGAGUCCGGGAGAGGUUGGUGGAACUCCGAGUGUAGAGGUGAAAUUCGUAGAUAUUCGGAAGAACACCAGUGGCGAAGGCGGCCAACUGGCCCGGUACUGACGCUGAGGUGCGAAAGCGUGGGGAGCAAA